ACCAAACCUCAGUGGAUUCCCAAGUCCAAGCCUCCUGACUGUGGCUGGGCCUGUGUGGUAGUGAAAACUGGCAGCUUCACCUCCCAUAGGCAUGGAAUGCAUAAGGACAAGCAAUUAUCCUGUUUCCUCAGGAGAGUAAUGGAUUACACCUCACACACACUGUAUCAACUGCACUGUACCAGCAGGAAGCAGAGGGAAAUUCCAUGUCCUUUCUACUUUGAAAUAGGAGAAAAGAGACAGAUAAACUGAAGGAAUGAAGACAAAGUGGAAGUGCCUAAACAUUUCAAGUUUAAUAACCUGAGCUGAACAACGUUACACACGAAGGAGCUGGAACGUAUUAGCGACUCCAGUGAAGAGUUCUCAGCAGGAAGAAGAAGCAGAUGAUUCACCACCCUUUGUUUAUAACAGUGACUGACCCUCACACAUGGCCUUAUUUUCUCUGCAGCAUCUGAGCCUCUCCUCCUGUCCAAACACACUGGUUCUCCCUCUGGGACAACUGCUUACUCUCAACAGAUGUGGGAAUGUUGUUCAGCAUUUCAUCUCUGAAUAAAGUAAUUACAUGCAUUAAUUAUGAAUAUAUAAGUGUCUCACAUAGAUCAUGCCACCCUACUCUGGGAUGCUAGUUUUGUUUUACUUCCAAGUUUUAAUCACAGUUUCCUGUCUGACUGUUCAUUAAAAGCAAUUUACACUCACCAAAACUUUAUUAAGAACACAUGUACACUUACAGUACUCAUUCAUGCAUUUAUCUAAUCAGCCAAUCAUGUGGAAGCAGUACAAUGCAAAAUCUUAUGCAGAUACAGGCCAGCAGCUUCAGGUAAUGUUCACAUCUCAGUGAUUUUAACCAUGGCAUGAUUGUUGGUGCUAGAUGGGCUGGUUUGAGUAUUUCUAUAACUAGGAUCUCUUGAGAUUUCCUGAGAGUCUGUAGAGCUUACUCAGAGUGGUGCAAUAAAGUAAAAAACAUCCAGUGAGCAGCAGUUCUACGGAUGGAAAUGCCUUGUUCAUGAGAUGAGAAUGGCCAGACUGAUUGUAGCUGACAGAAAGGCUACAGUAACUCAGAUAACCACUCUGUACAACUGUGAUCAACAGAAAAGUAUCUCAGGAUGCACAUUGAACCUUGAGGAGGAUGGGCUACAAUAGCAGAAGACCACUUCGGGCUCUACUUCUGUCAGCCAAGAUCAGAAAGCUGAGGCUGCAGUGGCUACAGGCACACCAAAAAUGGACAGAAAAAACCUUAUCUGUUGAAUCUCAAUUUCUGCUGAGGCACACAGAUGGUAAGGUCAUAAUUUGGUGCCAACAGCAUGAAUCCAUGGACAACCUGCCUUGUGUCAACAGUCCAGGCUGGUUGAGAUGGUGUAAUAGGGUGGGGAAUGUUUUCUUGGUACACCUUGGGCCAGUUAAUACCAAUCAAUCUUGAAUGCCACAGACUAUUUGAGUAUUGUUCCUGAUCAUGUGCAUUCCUUCAUGGCCACAAUUUACCCAUCUUCUAAUACCUACUUCCAGCAUGAUAAUGCACCAUGUCACAAAGAAAAAGCUGUCUCAAACUGGUUUCAUGAUUGUGACAAUGAGUUCAGUGUUCUUCAGUGGCCUUCCCAGUCACCGGAUUGGAAUUCAAAACCUUAAUAGAACACCUUUGGGAUGUGGUACAACGGGAGAUUCACAGCAUGAAAGUACACACCUUAUGGAAUCUACAUGCUACAAAGAAUUGCCUCUGUUUUGAGAGCAAAGGGAGGCCCUACCCAGUAUUAGUUUAGUGUUCCUAAUUAAGUGUUCUGUGAGUGUAUGUAAUAUUUACAUAGUGCAAAGGAAGUUACUAAAAUACCAUUUAAACCAAAGUGUUUAUUUGAUCAAAGACCAUAGUGUGUGUGUGUGUGUGUGUGUGUGUGUGUGUGUGUGUGUGUGUGUGUGUGUGUGUGUGUAUGUGUGUGGGUGUGUGCGUACCAAUAUUAUCCCAUUGAUGUGGAAUAAAACUGAUAAUGGGAACUCCAAACAAUCAUCCAACUGGGAAUUUCCACUGUAGAUCUCUAACACCAGUGGGAAAGCAAAAGCUGUGUUGGACUCAGGGGGGACACCAUCUGCUAUCACACCAAGUUCACAGAGGCUACAAAUGUUCUGAGGAGAUUUUACUUUCCAUACCAGGAAUCUACAAUGCAAAGGGGAGUCUGAUUUUGUCUAAUUAUUGUUUCUGUAUUUCUGUAUUAAUGUACAUGUUUAUAGAAUUAUGUAUUCAGUUGAAUUUUCUGUGUAUUACUGUGCACAUAAUUAUGAACUCAGCUAAUUAAUGAUCUAAAUCUUAUCCUAACAUUAACCUGAGUAAUUAAAAGAAAAGCAUUUUUUUUUAAAGGGUCAACAC
ensembl:lncRNA